CGGAGUAUAUAAAAGAUUGAGCAAAAUCUAGAAAUAUCCUGCAACCUGGGGGGGAAGAAUGGAUCCAGUGUGGAGGAGUCUUUGAACCUUACCCCUUGGGAGGAAUUGCACAGGACAGUAAAAAAAGUCUCGAAAGCUUUAAUUCCUUUGUGUCAUGACAAAGACCUGGUGAGACAAGAGUUUCCUCGAAGCCCAGGAGGAGCUGCUCAAUGGAGGUCGAGCAGUUGGUGGGCGUGCAGCCCGACCCCCAAAACCCCAAUUGUGAGAGAGAGAGACUUUAAUUAUCACCCUGAAAACUCUCCUGAACUGAUGUGGGAGGGUCCAGGGCUGGUAGAAAUUGUGUUAA